GUUUCCUUUACAAAUUGUUGUCCAUUUCCUUUGGAAUUUAGCUUUAUAAUAAAUAAAAUUCAACAGCGUGAAUUCUGAUUACAAUAAAUAACAAACGAAUUGAAACAAAUUAGUUAUUUUUAUAGGCCCAACAACUACAAAAGCUGUGGGCAUCCACUCCAAUCCAUUCCAAUGGUCAACAGCCACUCGGACGUACAAAUAUUCGCAGACAGAUACAGAAAGUGUUCCACCAAAGGGCUAUUCAAGCCGUCAUUCAGGCCGGCAGAGGAAACAGCAUACCCAAAAGCCCUUGUGCUGCGUAGAUAAAGCUGAACUAUGACCUAUGCCUCGAACAGGGAUUUCGGAAAACGGAAAGGAUUCUCCCUCAGCAGAACGAUUGAGCGGCAGCUAAUAUUUUUGCCCUUUUUUUGUGGGCCAACAACGGCGAGUUGGAGGAACAAUAAUAGCUGCGGCAACAGCAGGACACAGAUUGCGAUGAUGGGGCCGCAUGGAGCUUAGGAGCAUUUUUAGUUUGGCCUUCUCGCAGACGAUGAUGUGAUGUGAGAUUGGGGCCCCAACGCUGCCAUAACUUUGAAGAAGCCGUGGCGAAUGAAAUGAAAUAUGAAGGGGCUUGGAUUGGCCAUCAAGUGAACAGAUCCUUUUCAGUAGUUCGCAGUGCUUGGGGCCCAUAAUCGCUGGGACUUAAAGAUUUUCGGCUGAAAAAGGCAAAUAAAUUGAUUCUCCUUGAGAUAGUACUCCCUUA